rnacentral:snoRNA from 1 species
AUCUUUUUGUGGUUCAUAAAGUGAUUGGGUUUUCACACUAUUGUGUGAGAUGUGUCUCCCUCAAACUUAUUACAAUGUCAACAUGUUACACUGGAAA